rnacentral:rRNA from 1 species
CCUCAGCGCCGAUGGUACUGCGUCUUAAGACGUGGGAGAGUAGGUCGCCGCCAGGU